GAUGGGCGCUGGCGGCGUGCCUAAUACAUGCAAGUCGAGCGAACAGACGAGGAGCUUGCUCCUCUGACGUUAGCGGCGGACGGGUGAGUAACACGUGGAUAACCUACCUAUAAGACUGGGAUAACUUCGGGAAACCGGAGCUAAUACCGGAUAAUAUAUUGAACCGCAUGGUUCAAUAGUGAAAGACGGUUUUGCUGUCACUUAUAGAUGGAUCCGCGCCGCAUUAGCUAGUUGGUAAGGUAACGGCUUACCAAGGCAACGAUGCGUAGCCGACCUGAGAGGGUGAUCGGCCACACUGGAACUGAGACACGGUCCAGACUCCUACGGGAGGCAGCAGUAGGGAAUCUUCCGCAAUGGGCGAAAGCCUGACGGAGCAACGCCGCGUGAGUGAUGAAGGUCUUCGGAUCGUAAAACUCUGUUAUUAGGGAAGAACAAAUGUGUAAGUAACUAUGCACGUCUUGACGGUACCUAAUCAGAAAGCCACGGCUAACUACGUG
rnacentral:rRNA from 1 species